AGGCCUGGCGUGCUGCAGUCCAUUGGGUCACAAAGAGUUGGACAUGACUGAGCAACCGAACAACAACAUGUAUCUAUGGUUAUUUCAAGAUCUGAGCAGAGGUCUCCAAAGAAACUGGGCACUGGGAGGGCCCUAGCAUCUGCCUCUCACAGUGUGAGAAACAAAUAGUAACAUUUUAUUUGAAAAUUUAGAGAGAAAACCUUUUAUUAGAUUGAAUUGAUAUACAUACAGAAUGAAUGAAUGAAUGAAAUAUUGAGAUGGGGGAAAUUGUGCUCAAACUUUCCCAUUAGGGCUUACUCCUGGAAACUUUAUAAACAAGAUCGCCGAAGGACCCUGCUCUGCCAUCCUCCAGUUAUUUGAAACGCGUCCUCAGAAAUGUCGUCCUGUGGGCCAAGUCUUGCAAAAUCAGCCUCCGUGUUCAGAUAGGCUGCUUUCCAUCGCUGUGGUUUUGGCCUCCUUUUCCCGAGCACCCGCCUAUUAAUUUUCCCUCUUGUUGAGCCCAGCCUCUCUGCCCGCGCGUGCAGGUGAAUUCAGGUUUGCUAUCUCAGGUUUUUCUCUCGUUUCUCUGGCAGCGGUUCUCAGUCCAUUAAGGGAGCGAGAGCUGGGAACUGCUAAGAGAGAAACAAACCUUUUCCUCAUCUGGCUGGUCUCACUUCUCCACUUUUCCUGCCUAUUCCAUUAGGAAGUCACUAUCUCCAUGGAAAACAACCAGCGUAGCUGUGGAAAUCGCAAUAAUUAUUCUGAAACAGAACUCCAGUGCUCACCUCCUGCCUCCCACGAGACACAGGCAGCAGCAAGACCAUCUAGGGUGAAGCUGGGUGAAGGCAGGGAGCCCUUAUCCCGAUGAAGCAGCCUCCCAAGAGUUCUUCCAAGAGACGGAACUGGGUAAGAAACCCUUGUCUGGAGAAGAGGGAACAUAGAGUUGGGUGUGUUAUGGAGGCAUGCAUGCAUGCAUGCUAAAGAGCUUCAGUCGUGUCCAGCUCUUUAAAACCCCACGGACUGUAGCCUGCUAGGCUCCCCUGUCCGUGGGAUUCUCAAGGCCAGAACACUGGAGUGCACUCCCAUGCCCUCCUCCAGGGGACCUUCCUGACCCAGGGGUUGAAUCUGAGCCUCUUACGUCUCCUGCACAGCCAGGCAGACUCUACCAGUAGUGCUACCUGGGAAGCCUGUUAUGGGGGCAGUCAGUGGCAAAAGCGUUCUAGAAGCUUUAGUAAUAGAUUUUCAGUGAUGUCUUCUUUCACAGCCGUCCUGAAGGGAUAUUUAAAAUGAAUGGGUAGCUAAGCCUCAGCGCUCCCAACGCAGCGGGCCCAGGUUCCAACCCUGGUCCAGGAACUAAGACCCCACAUGGCACUGGGAAGAGUUGGCAUGCUGCAACAAAGACCGAAGACCCCGUGUGCCACAGCUAACACCUGGUGCAGCCAAAGAGAGAGAGAAAGAAAGAAAGAUAAAUAUUAAAAAAGUCAAGCAAAUGCGCAGCUCUCAAGGACCAGGCCUGGAAAGUAGGGCUGGAAGACCCAUUUCUGAGUCACACCCAUGACUCUUUACUUCCUGGACUGUGAAAUGCAUUGUCGGGGAAAGCUGGAUGGCAUUUAGUUAUGG
ensembl:lncRNA